GGGCACAGAGCAGUUCUUCCCGGCAGAGUGAGGAGGGUGAGGGAGGAAUGCCGGCGGCAACCUCCUGCACCGACCCGGCGCGGCUUCAGCGCUCCUGCCUCGAAUCAUUCCGCGUUCUCACACCCCGUCCGCGUAGCCCACGCGUAAUGCAAGCAACUGAUUUAUUAUUUUUCCAUGUGCCUCCCGAGAUUUCCAAUGGCAAAGGAGCCGAUCCGACCCGCUUGCUGGAACUUUUCCACGCUCUGCGAGAGCCGAGGACAAGACCCGACGGGAAGCUAUGGAAAUGGCGUUGACCAUCCCAGCUCUUCAUAGGAGUUGGUUCCACCCACUGAACAGGAUUGUCCUUCCCAAGGGGUUCUGUUCUGCGUGUAUGGAAAUAGCAACAACUGAAGCACUAAUGAAGCCUUUCCCAUCUACCUAGAAGUCUCACCAUCUACUGCAGAAAAUCCUGCACUCUGAAAGCCAUUCAGACACAGGAAAAAGAAGAAGAAAGCGCUGCAGAAUAAGAAUGGAAUUAAGUAUCUUCAAAGCACUGAAAAUGCUACACCUUGACUACUGUGUUCAGUUUUUGGCCUCUCACUACAAGAAAGACAUUGAGUCCCUGGGCCGUGUUCAAAGAAGGACAAUGAAACUUGUGAGUGGUCUGGAGCACAAGUCUUAUGGGGAGUGGCUGAGGGAACUGGGGUUGUUCAAUCUGGAGAAGGGAAGGCUCAAGGGAGACCUCAUUACUCUCUACAACUACCUGAAAGUAGGUUGUGGUGAGUUGGGGGUUGGCCUCUUCUCCCACGUAAUUAGUGAUAGGACUAGAGGGAAUUGACUCAUGUUGCUUCAGAAGAGGUUCAGGCUGUAUAUUAAGAAAAAAUUAUUCUCGUAUAGAAUAGUGAGGCAUUGGAACAGGCUGCCCAGGGAGGCGGUGGAGUCACUGUUCCUGGAGGUGUUCAAAAAACGUGUAGAUGCAGCACUGAGGGAAAUGGUUUAGUGGGUACGACGAUGAUGUGUUGAUGGUUGGACUAGCUGAGCUUAGUGAUCUUUCUCAGCCUUAAUGACUCUAUGAUUCCACGAAAUCUGUUCAAGAAGUGCUGAUGAAGGAAGCUGGAACUUUAUGAUCGUGUAUGAGACUCCUUUGCCUAGAGGAGAUAUGGAGGUAAGCAUGUAAAGAAACUUAGAGCACAGUCUUUAUUUUCAUUUGUUGAUUUUUUUUCACUGACUGCCAUCCUGAUCUGGAAUCCUAGAGAAGAGAAGAAAUGAUGGAUUUAUAUUGAAAGCCUAAAAUAGUUUCUACCCUUUGCUGUCUUUGCUGGUUUUCUUUCCACAAAAUGGCAGUUUUAUUACCAUUAGGAUUCUGCACUGACAUUGUUAAAACUUGAUCAGAGCCUGUAAAAAUAUAGUUGUAGCUACUGAAAAGUAAAUGGCCAUUUCCUGACUUACAUGAAAGCUUCUUUCAUGUGCUAUAUACAAAUGUUUUAAAGCAGUCAUAAAUGGGAAUCUGAAUAACUCACUUGCAUGGGGGAAUUCUCAGCUAGAAAAAAAUUGGUACAUGGAGUACACAACUUAGGAAAAGCUGAUGCUGCCAGAGUUCUGUGAUCCUUGGCAGAAGCCCUUUGGCUUCUGAUGGACCUCCGGAUGUUUAUAGGCAUUCACAGAAAUCUGAGGCUUCUUGAAACUCUUGUAAACAAUUGGAACUAGGUUCCAAGAGGAUCAGAGGACAGCAGCAACUGAAAGAUUUUUUUUUUCAGUCUUAACUCAUAUUUUUUUCAACAUCUGUUCUGAGAUGGGUCUGAUUCACCUAACAUCACACUCAAAAACAUUACAUUUGCUUUUGAGGAAUUAAUUAUAUGUAUGAUCUAGAAAGUUAUUUAUUUUUUUUGCCCAGACCAGGGAGACCUGCUGGAGUGCACUGCAAUUAUUCUGAUGGCAUGCCUCUGUUUCCUUUUACAGUGAUGGAGAGUGCAGGGAUAAAUGGUGCUUAUCCAUCUCUGGUCUCAGUGUUUAGCCCCAGAGGGGACAGAGUUUGUAUCAAGAAUGACAAACUGGCUGCUUUCCAAGCCUUGAGGUGCUUUGUAGCCAUAAUACACUAUGCUCUGCUAGUUGUUAGUGAAUAUUUGUUCUGCACUGUUCAGUAAGGCUCUGUUUACCAGUGUCCAAACAGCAUCUUUAUUAUCCUUUUGCGAUGACAGAGUACGAAACCUGCAAGGACAAUUUACUUUGUUUUUGCAGAGGUAUUUAUAUUGAAUUUGAUUAGAAGAUUGGAGAACACUGCUCAAUUCUGUUAAACAGAUGCAGUUAGUAGUCCAAAUUCUGAAGAAUACUCUUCCUGAAGUUUGACAUCUGUCUACCCUUGACUGUCCCCUGACAUGCUGGAUGAAAAGAACAGUCAUUUGUCCUACGGAUAAUUAUUUCCUCAAGAUGCCCUAGGAGGUAUGACUUCUGGAGAUGAAAUUCUAUACCCAUAUUGACUGUAGGGAAUAUUUUAGUAUCUGCAGUCUUUCCGUCAUAUAGGAACAAUAAGUUUUGUCACUACUUUCAGAGGUACUGGCAUGACUACACCAAAGUACUGGAACUCAUACUUCCAAGGAGCAUAUUCACAGUGUAAUACAUGCUAUCUACAGCAUUAAAAUGCAUUAUAGCUUAUGUGUUCAAAACUUCACUUUAUUGCCAUAUUUUUCACUUAUAGAAAAAAAAAAAAAAAAAAAAAAGACAAUUAUGCUGUAUGGUCACCAAGCCAGGCAAUGUUGGAACUAGGCAUACUCAAGCUGAUGCAUCAUCUUGGACAUCUACAAUAAGACUAGAUGUUUACUACAGAAUAAGAUAACUACUACUUAUUAUGUCUGAAAUUCUAUUGUUUCCUUGUCAUGAGAUCAAUUUGUGAAACUUAAUGCAUUAAUUACAGUUAUACAUUCUUAGAAAAGUGCAUGUUAUUUUGCUUGUACAGUUCCAUUUCCAAACAAAAUAAAAUAACAUUUAGCAUCUGUACAGUGAUUAAGUACUUCUUUGAUAUAUUCCAAUUGUGAUUUUGGUAAUUUAGAAGUGAUAAAUAUAUGAAAUAUAAAUAUGUGUGUUCCCAGAUUUGUUUCAUGCAUCUCUUGAUUUGCAUUAGUCUAUGUUGUCCUAGUCACAGUAAUUACAGCCCUGGGGAAUGUCAUGGUAAAAUGUAUUCAUUUGAAGACAAAAAGCUGGGUAAGUGGGAUUAGAUAUAAAUAUUUACUGUUUACGUGGGAAACAGAAUAUUCUUAUUCAAUGAAAAAUAACCUUUUUUCAUGUAGUACAUUCUGUCUGAAAAAAAAAAAAAAAGGACAGGUACAGUAUAAGGUACAGUUACUUCAGAGCCAUAUUAUGUCAUUACUUUUUCCCUCGAAGUCGGAUUGCUUUAGGAGUAUAGGAAGGACUAAAAUGGAGAUAGGAGUAAAAGGCCUUCCUCGGUUGAGUUCCUUGCCAUCAAGACAAGCGAUGUCAUUUAGUCCAUCCAAAGAUUUAUCCAUUUCCAGCAUAAACUGAGUUAAGUCUCUUGCCCCUGCUGCGUUAUGAGAAUGUUGUUUUUAGAAUUUGACUCAUCUCAUACUUGGAAACCUGCUUUUAAUUUGAAGCUUAAUAUAUUCAUGGUUAAUUUAUACAUGUUUGUUCUUGGGCAAAAUUUGCACAAGCUUUACCAUAAAUAACUCAAUUCUUUCCCUACUGCUUUUUGAUCCUCCUGCCCAACCUACUGGCAAUAUGUGCACUAAUAAACAAAACAGAGUCAAAACAUGGGCUCAAGUACUGGCAUGCAGUGGUCUGUGGUGUUUAAUUUUUAGCACUCCAUUUGGUACACUUCCAGUCCAGGCAUACAGCACUCUCCAAGCCUGAGCUCAGUCAGAGGAAGAGUGUAAGCCAGGAACUGCUUCUAACAAUUCCCCCUGUUCUAGGGGGGAAGAAGAAAGUUUGGCUGCAUGGAUGCAAGCCAUCCUCUGCCACUUUCCCUAGGGCAAGAGAAUGGGUCCAGGCCUAAAGCUGUGGUUUGGAUUACCUCUUUUGACACACUCACUAAAAAUAGUAUUUGCAAAUUAUAUUUUACAAAAAAUUGCAAAAACAGGUGUUCAGGAAAUGUCCAACCACAACACCUGUGCAGUAAAAGUCAAUCUUAAUUCUGGAAUUUCCUCUCUUUGAGGUUUGGAAUUGCAAUCAAAGCAUUCUAUUGUUAUGAAGAAAACAGAAAAUACGGAAAUUACCUCAUGUUGAAGUGUUGUCUUCUUGACUUGAAGGUUCUCUACUAUUGGAUCUCACCAAGUGAGAUUUUAAUUUCAACAAGAGGUUCUGGUACAGUGACAGAUUGUCUGCACUCAUUAUCCCCAUGUGUUCCUACAGGGAAACACUGAGCUAUAGCUUUUCAACUGUUGGAGAAAAGAGGAUAUGGUGAUCAGUCACUGUCCAGACCUUCCUGGGAGACCAUGAAUUUGAUUUAGGUAUUCCUUUGAAGAUAAUAGAGAGAAGGAAAAGCUGAGAUUUUUCCCUAUUUUAAGAGAUUCUCUGUGACGAUGUUUUCAGCACAGCUGGGGAGAGAGGUCAUGUUCAAAAGUGAGGAUUCCAGCUGGAAUGAUGAUAAAUGUUUGAAAUUGGGUUUGAGCAAUACUUUUAAAUUCUGGAAAUUACCUCUUUACUUCACUGUGGACUUGAAUAAGAAAGUACAGAAUUAAAAUGUUUUGAUUAUCAGUUUUGCCAGAAUGGUGCUACUGACCUGCUCACAAGCUCUGAGCUCUGUCAUGAUAGAUAAUCAAGAAGUGCAAAGAUGAAAUUUAUAUUUUUCCCCCACACUGUUUUGGAAAUAAUCCAAAAUUGAGUGCUAUGGCACAGGUAAUUCUGAGUCACUUCUCAGUCUGGUUUCAUGUGGGGUUAGCCACUAGAUUGCUCUUCUGCUAGACAUGAAAAGGUACCACCUGUAUGGUGAAAGGAUGAUGUAUUUUCCUGUUCUUUCUUCUUAAGACUUUUUAAACAGUAAUAAUUUCCAUCUAAUACAGUCAAUCUAUUAAGUCACUCACUAAUUUUAAAGAGUGGUUCUAGAAAGGAAAUGUAGUCCAGUUUACUUUCCUUUAUGAGGUAAAAUGAAUUUAAAGUACUCUUUCCAGAGGAAAAGAUUCAUGUGACAGCUCCUUCCCAUAAUUUCAAGCUCUGGGGGUCUGUGUUUAAUGACUUUCAUAUUCUUCAUUUCACUCUGCAUCAUGCCUAAGUGUCUAACUACCCUUGUCAGAUGCUUCAGAUGGAUAUUUGCCAUACCAUCUCUCUUAGUUUCAGGCUUAGUGAUUUUUUUUAUUUUUAUUAUUAUUAUUUUCAGAAAGCAUUUGGAUAGUGAAAGAGAGAAAGAAAAAGAGAGAAAAUUUAAUGCAUAUAUUUUUAUUCUCCACUUUUCUAGACAUACUAAACUUUUUUUAGAUUGUCCCCCAACUGUAUUUUGAUCAAUUCAAUAAGCUUUGUAUCUUAAACAGUACCAUUACUUUUUUUAUAUUACUCUAAACAAGCUGCCCCGAAAUAAUAUUUAAUUCCUUUGUGUUCUGUAAUCAUUGCAGAUUUUUCAAAAGAGUACAAUAUAUUGUCAUGCUUUGUUAUUUGUCUUAUAUCUAACAUAUUUCUGUUUAUCUGUAAACUAAUCAUUUAAGCUUUCAAAUGACUUUCUAUGGGGAAAAAAUAACAUUACUUUGAUCAAGUUCAUUCUCUACC